rnacentral:rRNA from 1 species
GACGAACGCUGGCGGCGUGCCUAAUACAUGCAAGUCGAGCGGACGAAUCGAAAGCUUGCUUUUGAUUCGUUAGCGGCGGACGGGUGAGUAACACGUGGGCAACCUGCCCUGUAGACGGGGAUAACACCGAGAAAUCGGUGCUAAUACCGGAUAACACGAAAUGUCGCAUGACGUUUCGUUGAAAGACGGCGCAAGCUGCCGCUACAGGAUGGGCCCGCGGCGCAUUAGCUAGUUGGUGAGGUAACGGCUCACCAAGGCGACGAUACGUAGCCGACCUGAGAGGGUGAUCGGCCACACUGGGACUGAGACACGGCCCAGACUCCUACGGGAGGCAGCAGUAGGGAAUCUUCCGCAAUGGACGAAAGUCUGACGGAGCAACGCCGCGUGAGCGAUGAAGGCCUUCGGGUCGUAAAGCUCUGUUGUUAGGGAAGAACAAGUAACGCAGUAACUGGCGUUACCGUGACGGUACCUAACGAGAAAGCCACGGCUAACUACGUG